rnacentral:rRNA from 1 species
AGCGAACGCUGGCGGCAGGCCUAACACAUGCAAGUCGAACGGACCCUUCGGGGUUAGUGGCGGACGGGUGAGUAACACGUGGGAACGUGCCUUUUGGUUCGGAACAACUCAGGGAAACUUGAGCUAAUACCGAAUGUGCCCUUCGGGGGAAAGAUUUAUCGCCAUUAGAGCGGCCCGCGUCUGAUUAGCUUGUUGGUGAGGUAAUGGCUCACCAAGGCGACGAUCAGUAGCUGGUCUGAGAGGAUGAUCAGCCACAUCGGGACUGAGACACGGCCCAAACUCCUACGGGAGGCAGCAGUGGGGAAUCUUGCGCAAUGGGCGAAAGCCUGACGCAGCCAUGCCGCGUGAAUGAUGAAGGUCUUAGGAUUGUAAAAUUCUUUCACCGGGGACGAUAAUGACGGUACCCGGAGAGGAAGCCCCGGCUAACUUCGUGCCAGCAGCCGCGGUAAUAC